GACGAACGCUGGCGGCGGGCUUAACACAUGCAAGUCGAACGGAAAGGCCCUGCUUUUGUGGGGUGCUCGAGGGGCGAACGGGGGAGUAACAGGUGAGUAACCUGCCCUUGACUUUGGGAUAACUUCAGGAAACUGGGGCUAAUACCGUAUAGGAUCUCCUGCUGCAUGGAGGGGGUUGGAAAGUUUCGGCGGUUGGGGCUGGACUCGCGGCUUAUCAGCUUGUUGGUUGGGUAGGGGCUUACCAAGGCAUUGACGGGUAGCCGGCCUGGGAGGGUGACCGGCCACCUUGGGACUGCGAUACGGCCCAGUCUCCUACGGGGGGCAGCAGUGGCGAAUCUUGCACAGUGGGCCGAAGCCUGAUGCAGCGACGCCGCGUGCGGAAUGACGGCCUUCGGGUUGUAAACCGCUUUCGCCUGUGACGAAGCGUGAGUGACGGUAAUGGGUAAAGAAGCACCGGCUAACUACGUG
rnacentral:rRNA from 1 species